GGAGAUUAAGAGGAAUUAAUCACUGCAGAAUAAUGUGAUGUCCUGGAAAUAGAGAAUGUCUUUUCCUCUUUGUGGGUUCAGGCAGUCUCAAUCCUGAAAAUGGUUGUUUGUUCUGUGAAGAGUGUAUGUGUGCACAGUUAGCUCACCAUUUGGACAAUCAACAGAAGAAUCUGGCAUGUGUGGUUCACCCUGUGGUGCUUCCUGAACUCUCUUUAAGCUCCUACAAAGUGUACUCCAGGUUGAAUGACCCGGACUUGGAGAAUUGUUCUUCUGGGAGGUGUGGCGGAUCCCACUGUGAGAAAGAACCUGCAGGAAGGGGCCAAGGCUUCCUGAAAGGUACGUGAAAAUUGUCUGUAAUUAAGUGGUUGUUGGCCGGGCAUGGUGGUUCAUGCCUGUCAUCCCAGCACUUUCAGAAGCUGAGGCGAGUGGAUCACUUGAGCCCAGGAGUUUGAGACCAGCCUGGGCAACAUGGCGAAAGCCCAUCUCAAAAAAAAAAAAAAAAAAAAAAUUAAAAAAUAAAGUGGUGGUUAGGAGCACGUGGUUCCAGCGUCAGACUCCCUGACUUCCCACUUCUAAGAGCUAUGAUAACGAACAUAUUGUUUAGCUUCUAUCUACCUUGGUUUCUUCAUCUCUAAGAUGAGUAUCAUGAUAGUACCUAUCUCACAGGGAUUUGGUGAAGAUUAAAUUACUUAAGGUAUGGAAAGCACCUAGAAGUACUUGGCACAUAGAAAGCACUUAGUAAAUAGCAGUUCUUAAUAUGAAUUAUCUAUAUGUUGGAGGUAAGGGUGACAUGAAGGGAAGAAAAUCAGGUUAGGACGACGGUGUGCAAUGAAGGGAACCCCUGUAAACAGAAUUCGUGGGUUAUGAACAGCUCUAAAUACACUGUUCUACACUAAUUUUUCUGAAUUAUCUGUAACACUUCACUAAGCCUGAAAUUACUACACAGUCUAGUAUAAGGUAGGGGUGUUAUGAAGAAUAAAGGAUGAAGACAGUAAAGGAAAGUGGGGCCUACCCUGCAGAAACUCUCCCCUUGCCCCAACAGUCUCCUUUCCAUGGGGAUGGCAUCAGAGUUCCAGGAGAGAAGAGAGCAGGGCACAUGUUGGGGCCAGGAGCAUGCAGAGGCACCCAUGAGAGGCACUCACGUACCUAGAAGAAGGCUGUCGUGGUCCCAGAUUUGCUGGGGAGCACUGUUGGAAAAGGAAGGGAUGGAGAGGGGAGCCCGGGUUACUUGGGAAACAUUUUCUUCAUACUUCUUCUCUAUAUCUACCUGCCUAGCCAUGUGAGCUCACCAAGCACUUAAG
rnacentral:lncRNA from 1 species